rnacentral:rRNA from 1 species
UACAGAGGUCUCAACCGUUGUUCGGAUUCAUUGGGCGUAAAGGGUGCGUAGGCGGUCGCGCAAGUCGGAUGUGAAACCUCAGGGCUCAACCCUGAAACUGCAUUCGAUACUGCGUGGCUAGAGUGCUGGAGAGGAGACUGGAAUUUACGGUGUAGCAGUGAAAUGCGUAGAUAUCGUAAGGAAGACCAGUGGCGAAGGCGAGUCUCUGGACAGCAACUGACGCUGAGGCACGAAGGCCAGGGGAGCAAACGGG